rnacentral:lncRNA from 1 species
AAAUAUCUUUGGUGUUUCCACUACUCAAAGGCAAAAAGUUUGAACUCGGCCCUUUCUUUGAAGGGUUUAGCAGAAGUGCAUUGGUGAUGGGAAACAGAUCAGGCCCAGUGGGGUUCCAAAUGAAGAAGAUUCAUAGGCUAUUGAAUCACCUCUAGUCUUCAGAAUAUCAUGCCUUCAGUUUCUUAGAAGUAAAACAACGAGAGAUACACACCAUUAUAUGCCAGUUUUUAAAGAGCAUGAAGAAAACUAAAACCCAGCUCUUUUUUAGAGGCCUCUUGUAGCCAGCAAAUAGUUCAGAAUUUAGCCUA